UACAGAGGGGGCAAGCGUUGUUCGGAAUUACUGGGCGUAAAGGGCGCGUAGGCGGCCUGCUAAGUCGAACGUGAAAUCCCCGAGCUCAACUCGGGAACUGCGUCCGAUACUGGCAGGCUUGAAUCCGGGAGAGGGAUGCGGAAUUCCAGGUGUAGCGGUGAAAUGCGUAGAUAUCUGGAGGAACACCGGUGGCGAAGGCGGCAUCCUGGACCGGCAUUGACACUGAGGCGCGAAAGCGUGGGGAGCAACAGG
rnacentral:rRNA from 1 species